rnacentral:lncRNA from 1 species
CAGACCCCUGCAGGGCAGCUCCCCACUCACCCCUGCACCAUCCUCGCUGUCACAGUGCCUGAUGCCCCAAAACUGGAAGUGUGCCUGCCAUUGCCUUUCCCUGCCUGGUUUCCAGCAGUCCCAUCACAUGGCUCCAAAAAACAGCAUCGGGGUUUUUUUCUAGAACCCAAAUUUAUAAACAAGGGGCAAUGUCCUCUGACAAGACUGGGCAUCCAGUUCCAAUCCAAAGGCUGCCCCUUUGACCAGGCCCAUCUUCUCCACCUCACAUCAGACAGCCAAUCGGCUGCCCAGACCUCGAAACCUCAGUAACCUAGAAGGAAAUGGACCUUGGCAAACGUGUGUCAGGAGAGGAUGACUUGGAGGUGUCCACCGUGUUUCUUACUGAAGAUGUCUAAAAGUCAAUUGGGGUCAAGGAACAAGCCUCUACUCACAUGCAUGUGGGCAAAUGAAGUCACAGAACAAAUAACCUACCCUGCAUCCAGGCACGGAGUCCAGGGACACCCCCUGCUGCUGCCUAAGAGAAAGUGGCCCAAGAAGCACUGGCCCGGUGCCUGCUGAUGCCAGGAGCCCUCUGCUACUGCCUGACACAAGCAUCCUGCGCUUCCCCCUCCCAGGCCCUCCCCGAAAGCGUGGGCCACAGGUACCACUCCCUAUGCCACUGAGCCCCACAUUUCCCAUCCCCCAAGCCACUCCCACCAGCCCCAGAGCUUUCCUACAUUUAUGAUUUGUCCAAAAAUGUGAUGCCCUUCAGCCCCCAGAAGGUCAUCCUCCAGGCUGUGAUCGUCACACAGGGGGUCCCACAUGGGGUCCUCACAGGCCUUCAACCCAGCACAAAUCGUGGCCUGGUUUGACCUUUGAAAUAUCUCAACAUCUAAAAUUCAGAGCUUUUUUGGAAUAUUUAUUUUCCAUAGAUAUAAUUC